ensembl:lncRNA
CCUUUCGGUCACGCGAGAAAACAGGCUACUCUCAUGCGCGCUCUGUCUUUGUUCCAAGAUUGAUUAAACGACUCGUGUGUUUCUCUUCGUCCUGAGAAUUGCUGUGAAGCUAGAUAACAUGCUAAUGCUGUGUUCUGAACAUAGUUUGACAAGUUUAGUCGACAUAUAAUAUGUCAUUUCGACGUUUUGGUGCGCACCCACUUGACUUUUUGGCUGCAUUUCAACCGAAAUGUGUCGUGUUUGAUCACCGAAAGACACAGACUUCCAAACUAAAGCUGUUUUUGACAGCCGUGUGUCCUUCCUGGCCCUCACCGUUUCCACCACGGCCACAUCCGGCUGAUUGGUCAACACACAGCCACGGCCACUACCAUGGGGUCUUCUGUCAAUUCUGAGGGUAGAACAGAGUAUACUGCCAACAGAUCAUACUGUAAGAAUACUGUAACAUGUUAUGUGAAUUUACAUGCAUUACAAUAUGUAAUUUGCAGUAAAUGUAAUGGCAAAGCAUAGUGCAUAACCUACAGACUCGGUUUCCUUGGAGAAAUGUUCUCAUGAUCAAAUUGAAAGUAGAUUUUUUCAGAUUGCGAUGAACUAAUCUGGCAGCCUGUGCCAUGGUAAGGCCUCUGUUUACCACAUGGUCAACGACGAUGGCCCAGACUUUAUUCUGCACAACAGUUCCUUGCCGUCUGCCUCCCUCUCUCUGAUGUCCAACUCUUUGAUGGGGCCCAUGCCCACCUCUCUGACAGGCCCCUUGUCUAGAAGCUCUUUGAUUUCUUCCUUUCCCUUGCUGUCUAUCCUGCUCCAUGUUGAAAGAAAUUGCAAGUGUUCACACACACCCUAAAUGGUGACCACUUGUGGUUACCACUAUGUGAAAUCAAUUAGCAAUAACGAGGAGUCAUUAUGUAUGUUUAUCAUGUACCAUACAUAUCAUGUUUAUACUUCACAAACACAUUUUAUAUCUGUAGUUCUCAAAAUGCAUAUAUAGUAGACAAACCAGUUUAAAACUAUAGGUUUACCCAACGGUUAAGUCAUUAACCAUUAAGCGCAGUUGGAUUAUAUGAUGGUCAAAUGUAUUUAAACAGAUGAGAAGAGAAUCAUGUGAAAGGUGUUGUAAGCACUGCAUUGUGAAUGGCAAUUACUUUAUAUGAAAGGUAUUUCUAGACUAAACACUGAUUAGGUUUGGUGAAAAAGUUACUGUGUGAUUUUGUGUGUUGUACUGUGUGAAAAAUGCUAAUGUCAGUCCCAUGACUUGAAUGGGAUUUGCACCACAAAUGCAAAAAUGUUAGCAUGUGGAAACGAUGACAAGGAAAAUAAACCAAGCCAUGGAUUUCUCUCAUAUCUUCUCCAUUGACUGCUUACAGGGCAGGGAAACAAUUUUGUCAUUUGUGUGAACUAUCCCUCUAAAUGACCAAUACAUCAUUUAUUUGUAAGUUUGCACAUGAUGUUUGAUGCAUUGCAAAACAAAAUACACUCAACAGCAAAGGCUGCAGUAAAACGUAGCGUUUCUAAUACAUGGUAACUGUCAUGCCCUGAUCUGCUUUCACCUGUCCUUGUGCUUGUCUCCACCCCAUCCAGGUGUCACCCAUUUUCCCCUCUUAUCCUCUGGGUAUUUAUACCUACUGUAUAUGUGUGUAUAUAUAUAUAUAGGAUCUUCCACCCACACCUGGGAUAUGGAUGCCUGAUAAAGACCUAAGGAUCGAAACGUCGUUAAUAAAUAUCACCUGGGAGCAUGAGCAGCAGUGUGCUGCGUUUUCCUUUCUGUUUUCCAUGAGUUUAUUUAUUUAACCUUUGUUUAACUAGGAAAGUCGGUUAAGAAGUCAGUUAUUGACUAUGAUGGCCUACCCCGUCCAAACCCGGAUGAUACAUGGCCAAUUGUGCCCCCAAUGGGACUCCCAAUCAUGGCCGGAUGUGACACAGCCUGGGUUUGACCAUAUCUAAUGUUUGCACUCAUUAAGUAUGUCUGGCUCCAAGACGUAAUAAAAAUGAUUCAGAGCCUGAGUUUGUAUAGCACUGUGUUGCUGUUCUUCUUAUUUACAUUGACAUGUCACAGGAAAAACAUAAGAACUCAUCAGAUCAAACACGGACUGAAAGGUCAGCCAUCAGCCUACCAGUAAUCAAAUCAAACACAUUUCAGCUUCCAUCCUCUCCCUAGUCCAGAGUCAAUCAACUGUAAAAUUAAUAUCCCCCAAUACCAAGAACAUGUAGUUGACAAGCCAAGAUUUGACUAGGAGACAGAGCCAAGCCUGCCGGUGGCACCCUGCUGUAAUUAAAUCCUAACUCAGUCAUGGAGUUAGCACUUUUUCACUUCAUGCAUAGGGAAGGAAAUCUAUAACUCAUCCCAUAAAUGAAGCUGGCACCAUACCACUGUGUGGGAAUUCAACACCACUGUCAUCCCCAGGGCGCUCUGUCCAUCCACUCAAUAUCCACGACUCAUCAGGAGAGAUUGCGAGAGGGAGGUAGGGGGCAGAGCGAGAGAGAUGCUGUGACAACAUUGAGGCAGAGAGAGGGAGGUGAAAGAAUGGAAGAAUGGGAGGGGCACAGAAACAGUCACCUAGGUAACCAGGUGCAGGUCAGUGUCACACCAAGUAGACUUUAAUUCCAUUCUCCCUCUGAGGUCAGUCAGUCAGCAGACCCACUUACUCAGGGACCUGCCUGGGAAACAACAGGAGUAUAAGUGUUACUAUCCCUGUUACUAUCAGGUAUCAAGGUAAGACUCAAGUGCAGACUGUGUGAAGUAACAAUGUUUAUAGUAACAGGCAAAUGACAGGUCAAGGCAGGCAGGGGUUGAUAAUCCAGAGUAGGAGCAAAGGUACAGGAUGGCAGGCAGGCUCAGGGACAGGCGGAGUGGUCAGGCGAGCAGGUACUGUCACGUUCAUCUGAAUGAAUGGACCAAGACGCAGCGUACUUAGAGUUCCACAUGUUUAAUAAAUAUGCAACUCACCGAAAACAAACAGAAGAAAACGAAACGUGACGUUCUGGGCUGCUCACAGGCAGCUACACAAAAACAAGAUCCCACAAAAAAACAGUUGGAAAAGGCUGCGUAAGUAUGAUCCCCAAUCAGACAAAGAUAGACAGCUGCCUCUGAUUGGGAACCAUACCAGGCCAACAAAGAAAUAGAAAACAUAGAUUGCCAUCUUAGUCACAUCCGGACCUAACCAAAAUAGAGAAUAAAAAGGAUCUCUAAGGUCAGUGCGUGACAGGCAAGGGUCAAAAACGAGGAGGACGAGAAAAAGAGAGGCUGGGAAAAGACAGGUGCUGAAAGGACACUCUGGUAAGCUUCACAAAACAAGACGAACUGGCACAGAUACACAGUGCCUUGCAAAAGUAUUCGGCCCCCUUGAACUUUGCGACCUUUUGCCACAUUUCAGGCUUC